rnacentral:lncRNA from 1 species
AUGUGUGCAAGCUCCCCGACCGCUGGCUCCUGCGGGUCCUUCAGGCCAGGCCAGGUGGGGGGAGCAGGUGGGGAAGGGGAGCGGCGGAAGCUGGACGGUAUCCAAGUAGCCCCGAAAGCCCUCGAGACCUGGGCAGAGCUGACCCACUUUUUCACCCCAGGGAGAGCAGCCGCUGGGGCGCGAGCGGACGGGCUGGCGCCUGGGUUUGGGCCUUGGGGUUCGCAGCGCCGCGCGCUCCGCUCCCUCCGCUCCAGGCGCCCGGCAGCGCCUCCCGGGAAGGCGCGGCGGGGCGGGGCGGGGCGGGGCGGGCCAGGGUCUCCGCGCCGCGCGCAAGGGGCCCGCCUCCCGCGUCUACCCACCCCCGAGCCCGCAGCCAAUGGCUCCUCGCCGCCGGGCCUCCGCUCGCGCGGCAGGCGGGGACUGGGGGCAAUAAAGCGGGGAGAGGGGCGAACGCGGGCAGCGCGGAGGGCCGGGGCACGUGCUCCCAGGGCGGGAGCGAGCCCGGACAGCGCUGCUUCGGCCGCACCUCCCGCGGGGCGGAGGCGGAGGCCCGGCCCGCGCCCCCGGGCUCCCCACUCCCUGCCGCCGCCGCGCCCACCCCGCGGCCGGCCGGGUCCAGCGACAGUGGACGCGAGCAGGAGCCGGCGCGGCCCGGGCUCCAGGCUCCGGGCUCCGGGCCCCGGGGCGCUGCGGAAGCCGCGGCUGACGCACCGCUGCCCUUUCCACCCGGUGACCUGGGGGAGGGGAGGGGCCGCUGCAGGACCGGGGCGCUGCCAUCCCCGCGCCCCCGGCCCUCCAGCCUCGGCCUCGGCCUCAGCCUGCGGCUACUUUGCGGGGCGCGCAGCGUGGGCCCCGAUGCAGGCCGCUUUCGGCUCCACUUACAGCGACAAAGCCUCCCAGCGCCCUGCGCAGCGCACUCACGCUCCCUCCGCCGCCGGCGGCGCCCAUGCAACAGCCUCGCGCCCGGGCGGGGCGGGGCGGGGCGGGGCGCGCGGGGCCGCUCGGCCAAUCGCCGCGCCGGCACCGGGCCGGGGCCGCGCGCAGCCAAUCAGCGCUCCGGGCCUCCCG